rnacentral:miRNA from 1 species
AAUGUUUCACUUGGUACUUGG